UACUCAGUACCACACCGCAA
rnacentral:misc_RNA from 1 species